AAAGCGCGGGUCGGGGCGCCGGCUGCGUGUCUCUCGGGCCUGGCACCUGUCCGCGUGUGUCUUCGUUGUGUGGUGCCCGAGGCCCGAAGUCGAGGGGGUCGGUAAGCGCUCCAGGGCGCUACUGGUCAUGCGCCCCUCGGUCAGUUCUGCUUCUCUCCUUAAGUCAAGGUCACUUUGUUUCAUUCUCUCACUUUAUUUUAAAUAGCUGGCAACACCUGAGGACAGAGGCCCUGUCUCCCAGCCUCUGGGGGAGGGUGGGAGCCGAACUGCCAUAAGUGAUAAGCUCCAGUCAGCAAAUCCAGGAGGCGGAAGCUGAGGGUGGACUUUACUCAUGACUUGAAGGAGGUGCACUGGGAGGCCUGCUCUGGGGGCUUUCUACACCUCUUUUCUCUUAUUAAAACCUGGUCAAGGUCGAGCUGGUCCUGCUCAGGGCCAAGCCCAGGCCAGUGGAGGUGUCAAGGCAGGAGCCUCCGCAUGUCCCAGAGCCAGUGGAAAUACACCUCAGUCUCUUCCUACCAAGCAGAGCCGGAGUCUCCAUGAAUGAUCUCCUCUCCUGCCUGUUUCAAAGAGUGGAGAGGAGCCAUGGGUCACUGUACACCCAUGGAGCUGCGUUCUCCAUGGUGACCCUGGAAGACCGCAGAAGACCCUGGGGAAGAUGGAGCUGGCGUGAGUCCAGAGGUCCUGGUGUUUCACAGCUGUGUGCUGCGGUUUCCACCACCGGAUCCCGUUCAUCACCCAGCUGCAGUGAAUGAGCGACUUGGGUUGUGGAAUGCUGUGGAUGACAACAGGUGGGUUAAUGUUGAUGGAGAGGAACUUGUCCGGGUGCACACCAAGUUGCGGGAGAUGUUGCAAGCCUUGUGGUGGUCUGGCAGGGAGUUGAGAACUUCCAUCUUUCUCCCGGUGCAGUAGGUGUAACAGACAUGACAGGAAGGAGGAGAUCAAAAUCAAAGCGGCAGUGGGCAGCAAUGGGCAACAAAUGCCCUGACAUUGAUUUUAAAGAAAACUCUCAGAAUAGAGGAAUUAUCAAAAUAAACAGUCUCGUGGUGGCCUCUUUUAUGUAAUGUCUUGUGUUUUCUAUUCCAAUCUCAGGAUUCUAAGGCUCAGUUCUUCAAGAAUGUAGCGGAUGUUAGUUGAAUAUCUGCAGUGUAAUGGCCAUGACAGCUCUAGAUGCAGGGUAUAAAAAGACAAAAAGGACCCCCGGCACAUGUACCCUCUGGUCUAUUUGUUACUUCUUUUCCACUUUAUUUCACUGCAGUAUUCCUGCUCUUCUG
rnacentral:lncRNA from 1 species